UAUUAAAAUUUCAUCUCUUUCUAUUGUUAAAAACUAAAGCGACUGACAAAAUUACUAGACAAUAACACGUGGUAUGAUAUAUGUAUCUUAGGUGACGUACAAGGACAAUUUUUAACCAUAAAAAUGAAUGAAAAUUUUAACA
rfam:Gossypium hirsutum cultivar TM-1 chromosome 11, whole genome shotgun sequence